GAUGAACGCUGGCGGCGUGCCUAAUACAUGCAAGUCGAGCGAACGGACGAGAAGCUUGCUUCUCUGAUGUUAGCGGCGGACGGGUGAGUAACACGUGGAUAACCUACCUAUAGGACUGGGAUAACUUCGGGAAACCGGAGCUAAUACCUGAUAAUAUUUUGAACCGCAUGGUUCAAAAGUGAAAGACGGUCUUGCUGUCACUUAUAGAUGGAUCCGCGCUGCAUUAGCUAGUUGGUAAGGUAACGGCUUACCAAGGCAACGAUGCAUAGCCGACCUGAGAGGGUGAUCGGCCACACUGGAACUGAGACACGGUCCAGACUCCUACGGGAGGCAGCAGUAGGGAAUCUUCCGCAAUGGGCGAAAGCCUGACGGAGCAACGCCGCGUGAGUGAUGAAGGUCUUCGGAUCGUAAAACUCUGUUAUUAGGGAAGAACAUAUGUGUAAGCAACUGUGCACAUCUUGACGGUACCUAAUCAGAAAGCCACGGUUAACUACGUG
rnacentral:rRNA from 1 species